UACGUAGGGUGCGAGCGUUACUCGGAAUUACUGGGCGUAAAGCGUGCGCAGGCGGUUUUGUAAGCCAGAUGUGAAAUCCCCGGGCUUAACCUGGGAAUGGCAUUUGGGACUGCAAGGCUGGAGUGUGGCAGAGGAGACUGGAAUUCCCGGUGUAGCAGUGAAAUGCGUAGAUAUCGGGAGGAAUACCGAUGGCGAAGGCAGGUCUCUGGGCUGACACUGACGCUCAUGCACGAAAGCGUGGGGAGCAAAUAGG
rnacentral:rRNA from 1 species